rnacentral:tRNA from 1 species
GCUGGUGGUGCAAUAGUGAAGCACUGGGCUGCUAACUGAAAGGUUGGUGGUUCGAAUCCACCCAGCAGCU